AUAUAAGAUCCAGCUUGAGCUCUCAGCAACAUAACAAACAGCUGUUGCAAGGUCUCUCCACAACUGUCCUUUCCCAAUAUUGCUUGGCUGGCUGGCUGGCUGGCUGGAGCAGGAACAGAGCGACCGAUCUGGUGCGGGAUCCUGUUUCCAAGACUCUUUUGCAGGUCCCAGAGGAAAUCCAGUUCCCAAUUCAGCUCUCAGGACACUCUGUCACCUCCUCCCACCAUGGAGUUUGCUGAGCUGAUCAAGACCACCAAGGUGGAUGAUGUGGUUCUCUCAUGUCCAGGACUCCAGACCAUCCGAGGGACACUGGCUAUCACCAGCCAUCACUUACUCUUUUCAUCCCAGGCAGAAGGGAAUAGGGAACAGAGAAGAACUGAGCUGUGGCUCCUUAUUCGCAAUGUGGACGCCAUUGAAAAAAGCAUUCAGAAUUUAAGCUGGUAUCAAAACUCCUGGACUAACGACUCCCCACCAGAGAACAGGUUUGCCUUAACCCUUUUCACACCACAAGGCAUGCAAGCAAGUGAGGUGACAGCUGGUGCAUCAUCUACUUUCGGCUUCUGCAGCUGAUUUGCACAACCGGGGAGGGGGAAGCCCAUCUUUCCAGGUCUUGCUUCAGGAAUGAAAAUGAAUGAAUCCCAGACAGGUGAAGAAUGACCUUUCAGCCAUCCUGGUAUCCUUUUUCUACCUGAUGGAUAGCGAGGCCAGGACAAUUUGGUGGAGUGGGUAGAGAGAACUGGCAACAGGCACCAUAAUCAGAGAUCCAAAGUCUUGCCAGGCAUAGCCCAGAUUUGGCUAUUAUCUGAACUGAGAGCAUAUUUUUAAGCAUGCACAGAGUGCUUAUCUUCUUGGCCUUGCACCUCUUUUCCAAACCACAAAAUUUUGAUCACAUAACCAUGGGCAUGCAGCAACAAUUGUAAUUUGUCAGUGCCAUUGUAACUUUGAACAGUCGCUAAAGGAAUUGUAAAUUGAGGGCUAUCUGUAGAUUUUAAAUAAUAGAUAGAUUUAGAAGGGUUUGAGGUAUGGUCAAGAAUGUUAGGCUCCCUGUAGCCUCCCACGUCCCUCUGACCUAAAAGCUUGGAAAAUAUGGGAAAUAGAAACCUCUUCAGCCUUCCAGGGAUGUCACCAAAGGGGGAAGCUGCCCCUUUGAAAAUCAGAAGGUCACCAAACAUUGUCCAUAGAUGGAUGCCAAAAAUUCUGGACCGUUCUCGAAGCCAUUCUCGUCUGGCAUUAAGGCCUGUAUAGUAGUUUUCGAGAACCACACAGGGUGGUUAUUCCAGAUUUAUUUUAUCUGGAUGGAAAAAGGAUGCACAGCAAUAGAGGUAGUUCUUGACUUACAACCAUCAUUUAAAGACCAUUUGAAGUUAUAAUGACACUGAAAAAAGUGACUGAUGGCAGUCAUCGCUCUUACAACCAUGGCAACAUCUCCAUGGUCAUAUGAUCCAAAUUUAGGUGUUUGACAACUGGCGUGCAUUUACAAGAGUUGCAGGGUUCACCAUUUGCAACCUUCCCAGCUGGCUUCCGACAAGCAGUGGUGAGAAGCCAGAUUCCCUUAACAACUGCAGCGGUUCCCUUAACAAUUGCAGUGAUUUGCUUAUCGACCAUGGCAAAAAGAAGUUGUACAAUUGGACAUGGCUCACUGAACAACCACCUUGCUUAGUAACAGAACGUCUAGUGCCAAUCGUGGUUGUAGGUCUAGGACUUUCUGUAGGGUGGUGAUAAAAGGGCAAGUGAGCCGACAAUGAUGUGAGUAAUGUAAGUAGCAUCAGUUGCAUCUGUGUAUGAUGCACUUAGUGAUAUUGUGGGAAGCAAAUCACAGCUUUGCAGUCCUCUGCUUCUCUCUUUCUGGGUUAAUAAGUUGCUUACUUCCUGUUCAUCCGCAAGCCCGACUUUCCGAUUGUGACUGGGGCUGUGAAGUGAAGGUCUCCAUCGUUGAUGCCCCUCCUCCCUUGCCACAAACAUGAGGUUCUUUCUGCUUGCAAACAACCGGAAGUUGCCUGUGGCCUCUAGCGAGGCAGCUCACAAGGUCUCUUUUCUCCUCUUCGCACAGGCUGGCCAACCCG